rnacentral:rRNA from 1 species
CCUACGGGAGGCAGCAGUGAGGAAUAUUGGUCAAUGGGCGCGAGCCUGAACCAGCCAAGCAGCGUGAAGGAUGACUGCCUUACGGGUUGUAAACUCCUUUUAAGGGGGAAGAGCAGAAGACGGUACCCCUUGAAUAAGCCACGGCUAACUACGUGCCAGCAGCCGCGGGAAUACGUAGGUGGCAAGCGUUGUCCGGAUUUACUGGGUGUAAAGGGCGUGCAGCCGGGAAGACAAGUCAGAUGUGAAAUCCCGCGGCUCAACCGCGGAACUGCAUUUGAAACUGUUUUUCUUGAGUAUAGGAGAGGUAAGCGGAAUGCCUGGUGUAGCGGUGAAAUGCGUAGAUAUUAGGAAGAACACCAGUGGCGAAGGCGGAUUACUGGACGACAACUGACGGUGAGGCGCGAAAGCGUGGGGAGCAAACAGGAUUAGAUACCCUUGUAGUC